rnacentral:rRNA from 1 species
GAUGAACGCUAGCUACAGGCUUAACACAUGCAAGUCGAGGGGCAGCAUGGUCUUAUCUUGCUCCGGCCGAUGGCGACCGGCGCACGGGUGAGUAACACGUAUCCAACCUGCCGUCUACUCUUGGACAGCCUUCUGAAAGGAAGAUUAAUACAAGAUGGCAUCAUGAGUCCCCCUGUUCACAUGAUUAAAGGUAUUCCGGUAGACGAUGGGGAUGCGUUCCAUUAGAUAGUAGGCGGGGUAACGGCCCACCUAGUCUUCGAUGGAUAGGGGUUCUGAGAGGAAGGUCCCCCACAUUGGAACUGAGACACGGUCCAAACUCCUACGGGAGGCAGCAGUGAGGAAUAUUGGUCAAUGGGCGCAGGCCUGAACCAGCCAAGUAGCGUGAAGGAUGACUGCCCUAUGGGUUGUAAACUUCUUUUAUAAAGGAAUAAAGUCGGGUAUGUAUACCCCGUUUGCAUGUACUUUAUGAAUAAGGAUCGGCUAACUCCGUGCCAGCAGCCGCGGUAAUACGGAGGAUCCGAGCGUUAUCCGGAUUUAUUGGGUUUAAAGGGAGCGUAGAUGGAUGUUUAAGUCAGUUGUGAAAGUUUGCGGCUCAACCGUAAAAUUGCAGUUGAUACUGGAUAUCUUGAGUGCAGUUGAGGCAGGCGGAAUUCGUGGUGUAGCGGUGAAAUGCUUAGAUAUCACGAAGAACUCCGAUUGCGAAGGCAGCCUGCUAAGCUGCAACUGACAUUGAGGCUCGAAAGUGUGGGUAUCAAACAGGAUUAGAUACCCUGGUAGUCCACACGGUAAACGAUGAAUACUCGCUGUUUGCGAUAUACAGCAAGCGGCCAAGCGAAAGCGUUAAGUAUUCCACCUGGGGAGUACGCCGGCAACGGUGAAACUCAAAGGAAUUGACGGGGGCCCGCACAAGCGGAGGAACAUGUGGUUUAAUUCGAUGAUACGCAAGGAACCUUACCCGGGCUUAAAUUGCAGAUGAAUUACGGUGAAAGCCGUAAGCCGCAAGGCAUCUGUGAAGGUGCUGCAUGGUUGUCGUCAGCUCGUGCCGUGAGGUGUCGGCUUAAGUGCCAUAACGAGCGCAACCCUUGUUGUCAGUUACUAACAGGUUCCGCUGAGGACUCUGACAAGACUGCCAUCGUAAGAUGUGAGGAAGGUGGGGAUGACGUCAAAUCAGCACGGCCCUUACGUCCGGGGCUACACACGUGUUACAAUGGGGGGUACAGAGGGCCGCUACCACGCGAGUGGAUGCCAAUCCCAAAAACCUCUCUCAGUUCGGACUGGAGUCUGCAACCCGACUCCACGAAGCUGGAUUCGCUAGUAAUCGCGCAUCAGCCACGGCGCGGUGAAUACGUUCCCGGGCCUUGCACA